rnacentral:rRNA from 1 species
GACGAACGCUGGCGGCGUGCUUAGCACAUGCAAGUCGAACGGAGAGGCCCUGCUUUUGUGGGGUGCUCGAGUGGCGAACGGGUGAGUAACACGUGAGUAACCUGCCCUUGACUUUGGGAUAACUUCAGGAAACUGGGGCUAAUACCGGAUAGGAGCUCCUGCUACAUGGUGGGGGUUGGAAAGUUUCGGCGGUUGGGGAUGGACUCGCGGCUUAUCAGCUUGUUGGUGGGGUAGUGGCUUACCAAGGCUUUGACGGGUAGCCGGCCUGAGAGGGUGACCGGCCACAUUGGGACUGAGAUACGGCCCAGACUCCUACGGGAGGCAGCAGUGGGGAAUAUGGCACAAUGGGCGGAAGCCUGAUGCAGCAACGCCGCGUGCGGGAUGACGGCCUUCGGGUUGUAAACCGCUUUCGCCUGUGACGAAGCGUGAGUGACGGUAAUGGGUAAAGAAGCACCGGCUAACUACGU